rnacentral:rRNA from 1 species
GCAUGUCUAAGCAUGAACUAACUUAAAGUGAAGCCGCGAAUAGCUCAUUACAACAGCCGUUGUUUCUUGGAUCUCCGUAAUACUUGGAUACCUGUGGUAAUUCUAGAGCUAAUACACGCAAUCGAGCUCCGACCGUAAGGGACGAGCGCAUUUAUUAGAACAAAACCAAUCAGUGCUUGCACUGCGGUUUGGUGAAUCUGAAUAACUUAGCAGAUCGCUUCGGUCUUAGUACCGGCGAUGUAUCUUUCAAGUGUCUGCCUUAUCAACUUUCGAUGGUAGUUUAUGUGACUACCAUGGUUGUAACGGGUAACGGAGAAUUAGGGUUCGACUCCGGAGAGGGAGCCUGAGAAACGGCUACCACUUCUAAGGAAGGCAGCAGGCGCGCAAAUUACCCACUCUCGGCUCGAGGAGGUAGUGACGAAAAAUAACGAGACGGUUCUCUUAUGAGUACCGUCAUCGGAAUGAGAACAAUCCAAACCCUUUAACGAGGACCUAGCGGAGGGCAAGUCUGGUGCCAGCAGCCGCGGUAAUUCCAGCUCCGCCAGUGUAUAUCUAUGCUGCUGCGGUUAAAAAGCUCGUAGUUGGAUCUGCGUGCCAGGAGCCGGUCUGCCUUUUAGGUGUGUACUGGACUCCGGCACUGAAUCGUUGGUUUUCUCUUGGUGCCCUUCACCGGGUGUCCUGAGUGGCUAACAUGUUUACUUUGAAAAAAUUAAAGUGUUCAAAACAAGCGUUACGCUUGAAUAUUCGUGCAUGGAAUAAUAGAAUAAGACCGUGGUUUUAUUUUUUUGGCUUUCGAAAUUAUGGUAAUGAUUAAGAGGGACAGACGGGGGCAUUCGUAUUGCGACGUUAGAGGUGAAAUUCUUGGAUCGUCGCAAGACGGCCUACUGCGAAAGCAUUGCCAAGAA